UGCUGAGCUGCUGGAGCUGACCCUUUGUAAGGCAUUGGAGCGCCGUGAAGAAGAUGAGAUCAAGUACCAGUCGAGCACCACGAAACAUAUCGGAGAAAUCAUGGCAUGCAGAUGACUGAAAUGGAUGCAGUGCUGCUUUGUUGCCUGUUCAAGUCUGGAUUUCCAAGCUGUCCCAGCCCACCAAGGCCUCCCCAGCCCAGGUCUUCAUCGCACUGUGGUCUCCUGAGGUUAGCAAACCCCACUGCAAGGCAUGUUCCAUCUUCUGGACCAGGGAGGAAGCAGCCCUCCCCCAGGGCUCUCACCGAGGCCCCUUUGCAGCACCUAGAACAGGAUCUCAUCGCAUGGUGAGGACAUGUUGGCUGCUGGGUACAGGGUGUUGAUGAGGCCCCUCUAAGGAAGGGGCACUUGGGAGCCUACCUUUGUGCAUCUCUUCCCUCAACCUUGGUUUUAGGGGAAAAAGUAAGCCCGGAAACCAACAGAAUGGCAAAGGUGUUUUGACUUGGAGAAAAGAAAAUGGCUUUCUCUAUUUGUCUUCAAUUGCCAGGACGGAGGAAAUCAAAGCAAAGCAAAAGAAAAUUGCUGCUCUGCAGACAGCCUGCAGGAGUCCUGAUGAUUUGGCCGUUGGCAGGAGCUGCCUGCCCAGAGAGGCAGCUGCAAGAAGGGCCUUGGAAAAGGAGCCAACAAGAAAAUGGAUUUCUCCCUUCAGAACUGUGGUAUAAUGGAAGUACUUCUUUUGUCUGAUGCAUUUAAAGACUUUAGAUUUAGAACCGUGCUUUGCGUUGAAAUUCUGAAUCUAAACUAAAGUGGCAGAAAGGACCCUCCCUUCAUUUGCAAAAUAAAAGCACCCCUGGUCAAGAAGUGUUGUUUUUG